rnacentral:pre_miRNA from 1 species
AGCUUCUACAAUCCGUGUAGAGAUUUCGUCAGACACCAUCCCAUUAGGGUUGGUCAGACUUCCAAGAUAGGUGGAGUU